ACCAGGUGACGCGAGUGUCUCCGCAAGUCUUCGUGUUCGUGAGGACGAACUAUUUGCCACAUGUUUCCGAGACGCUGUCCAAAAUCAUUACGGAAUUGGGGUUUCGAUCUAAGUUUUCAGCCAUGAAAUGCAAUCUGGCAUAUAAUUUCACUUCGUCAAAUAAUGUGACGUUGGUUGAAACUGUUGUUCAUUUUGCCGUAAUGUCGGCCAUUUUUAUUAGCUGUACUAUAUACGGUUGUUUGUCUCAUCUCGUGCAGAAACACUUAAGAGCUGUUGAUGUUCAGGUUGUAGACAUAGAUCCCUUUGCCCGACUGUUGCAGAAAUUGAGAACACAACAAAGUCAGAGCUUCAUGGCUGUUGUGUCAUUACUGGGUUCUGUUGCAGCCAGCUGGUGAAAGGUGUGAUCGAGUCAAGUUGAGCUGUAGCUGCUGCAUGCAGUUUAUCAAGCUGGGUUAAAGUGUCACUGAGGAAGACUUCUUGAAUUGGAGUUCAUGAUCAGUUUGAUAUUUGAGCUGAUAUGGUGUUACUGUUUGGUGUUACAGUGGUUUUGCAGUCCCUUUCCAGUUGAGACAUGCCCUCAAAUGGAGCUUGUACAGACUUGCAAUUCAACAUCAUACUUCAAUGUGUCAUUUACUCAUUUGCUUACGUUGGUGUCCAUGCAGUAUAUGCAGUGUUGAGCAGUUGGGUAAAAUAGUCAAUGUUGCCUGAUGGCUGUCGGUCUUAUUUUAUCGGCUGCAUUUUGUCGAUAUAUCGUCUCUUGCUACCUGUACCGGCGUUUAGUUUAAUCGUUUGCUGCCGUUCCAUAUACUUGAUCCAUUGGUAGCACUGAGGAGAGGUUGCUGAAAUUCAAGACUCGUCAUUUCGUCAAUAAAUUAUGUAGAUGUAGAUAUAUAUUACAAGUGCAUAUCUGGGCUCCCUUCCUUAGUGGCCCCGUUUCCCUAAAUAACUACUAACCAACGCCCGCCGGUGGUCACUCACUCGCUGCGACAACCAGGAGGAAGGGAGAUGUUUGGUCGAACGUGGACUUGCAAGGCGCAUGAUUCGAUGAAAUCUGUUGGAGGGUCAUGAAGCCGGAAGCCUACUAUGAUACACUGCCCUCAUAAUAACUGCUCCUCGGGCCUCGGCUCUCUUCGCUCUUUUUCCGGUUUCUCUUAACCAUGGUCGGGUAAUCUCCCUGGUCGAGUCAGUCGAGCAGUGUCUUCCCCUGCUUGACUGGCUGCAGUUGGUACCGGACGCUCUUUUUAAUAAAUUUAAUCUAUCAAU
rnacentral:lncRNA from 1 species